ACACCUGUUGCUAGGGUGCAUUGUAGUUGCAUUGCAUGUGCAACACAGAAGUGCAAUGUAACUGCAGUGCAGCCCAGAGGCAGGAAC
rnacentral:pre_miRNA from 1 species